rnacentral:rRNA from 1 species
CAGGGGCGCAAGCGUUGCUCGGAAUCACGUGGGCGUAAAGCGAACGCAGGCGGACCGUUAAGUCGAAUGUGAAAUCCCGGGGCUCAACCCGGAAGUGCAUUCGAAACUGGCGGUCUUGAGUACGGGAGAGGUGGGUGGAAUUCCUGGUGUAGAGGUGAAAUUCGUAGAUAUCAGGAGGAACACCGGUGGCGAAAGCGGCCCACUGGCCCGAUACUGACGCUCAUGUUCGAAAGCGUGGGGAGCAAACAGGAUUAGAUACCCUGGUAGUCCACGCCGUAAACGAUGAGUGCUAGCUGCUGGGGAUCUUUUAUUUUCCUCGGUGGCGUAGCUAACGCGUUAAGCACUCCGCCUGGGAAGUACGGCCGCAAGGCUA